rnacentral:rRNA from 1 species
GGGUGACUGCGUACCUUUUGUAUAAUGGGUCAGCGACUUAUAUUUUGUAGCGAGGUUAACCGAAUAGGGGAGCCGAAGGGAAACCGAGUCUUAACUGGGCGAGUAGUUGCAAGGUAUAGACCCGAAACCCGGUGAUCUAGCCAUGGGCAGGUUGAAGGUUGGGUAACACUAACUGGAGGACCGAACCGACUAAUGUUGAAAAAUUAGCGGAUGACUUGUGGCUGGGGGUGAAAGGCCAAUCAAACCGGGAGAUAGCUGGUUCUCCCCGAAAUCUAUUUAGGUAGAGCCUUGAGGUGACACCUUUGGGGGUAGAGCACUGUUUCGGCUAGGGGGCCAUCCCGGCUUACCAACCCGAUGCAAACUACGAAUACCAAAGAGUGAUACUCAGGAGACACACGGCGGGUGCUAACGUCCGUCGUGGAGAGGGAAACAACCCAGACCGCCAGCUAAGGUCCCCAAGUCUAUAUUAAGUGGGAAACGAAGUGGGAAGGCUUAGACAGCUAGGAUGUUGGCUUAGAAGCAGCCAUCAUUUAAAGAAAGCGUAAUAGCUCACUAGUCGAGUCGGCCUGCGCGGAAGAUGUAACGGGGCUGAAAUAUAGCACCGAAGCUGCGGCAUCAGGCGUA